UGGGGAAUUUUGGACAAUGGGCGAAAGCCUGAUCCAGCAAUGCCGCGUGUGUGAAGAAGGCCUUCGGGUUGUAAAGCACUUUUGUCCGGAAAGAAAUCCUUGGCUCUAAUACAGUCGGGGGAUGACGGUACCGGAAGAAUAAGCACCGGCUAACUACGUGCCAGCAGCCGCGGUAAUACGUAGGGUGCAAGCGUUAAUCGGAAUUACUGGGCGUAAAGCGUGCGCAGGCGGUUUGCUAAGACCGAUGUGAAAUCCCCGGGCUCAACCUGGGAACUGCAUUGGUGACUGGCAGGCUAGAGUAUGGCAGAGGGGGUAGAAUUCCACGUGUAGCAGUGAAAUGCGUAGAGAUGUGGAGGAAUACCGAUGGCGAAGGCAGCCCCCUGGGCCAAUACUGACGCUCAUGCACGAAAGCGUGGGGAGCAAACAGGAUUAGAUACCCUGGUAGUCCACGCCCUAAAACGAUGUCAACUAGUUGUUGGGGAUUCAUUUCCUUAGUAACGUAGCUAACGCGUGAAGUUGACCGCCUGGGGAGUACGGUCGCAAGAUUAAAACUCAAAGGAAUUGACGGGGUCAUAGCUGUUUCCU
rnacentral:rRNA from 1 species